rnacentral:rRNA from 1 species
GAUGAACGUUGGCGGUGUGCCUAAUACAUGCAAGUCGAACGGAGUUAAUAGCAAUAUUGACUUAGUGGCGAACGGGUGAGUAACGCGUUGGUGAUCUGCCUCGAAGUGUGGAAUAACGUUCCGAAAGGAUCGCUAAUACCGCAUGUGCUCUCGAUUUUUAGAAAGUUGAGAGUAAAGGAUUUAUUCGCUUCGAGAGGAGCCUGCGUCCCAUCAGCUGGUUGGUAGGGUAACGGCCUACCAAGGCUAUGACGGGUAGGGGACCUGAGAGGGUGGCCCCCCACAAUGGAACUGAAACACGGUCCAUACACCUACGGGUGGCAGCAGUAGGGAAUAUUAGAAAUGGACGAAAGUCUGAUCUAGCAACACCGCGUGUGCGAAGAAGGCCUUCGGGUCGUAAAGCACUUUUUGGAAGGAAUAGGAAGGAAUGUACUUCCAGAAUAAGUCUCGGCUAACUACGUGCCAGCAGCCGCGGUAACACGUAGGAGGCAAACGUUAUCCGGAUUUACUGGGCGUAAAGCGCGUGUAGGUGGUUCUGUAAGUAGGGCGUGAAAGCUCCCGGCUCAACUGGGAGAGGCCGUUCUAAACUGCAGAGCUAGAGGAUGGUAGAGGGAGGGUGGAAUUCCAGGUGUAGCGGUGGAAUGCGCAGAUAUCUGGAGGAACACCAGUGGCGAAAGCGGCCUCCUGGACCAUUCCUGACACUCAGACGCGAAAGCUAGGGUAGCAAACG